ACCUACGGGGGGCAGCAGUGAGGAAUAUUGGUCAAUGGUCUGGAGACUGAACCAGCCAAGCCGCGUGAGGGAUGAAGGUACAGAGUAUCGUAAACCUCUUUUGUCAGGGAACAAAGGCGGGGACGUGUCCCCGGAUGAGUGUACCUGAAGAAAAAGCAUCGGCUAACUCCGUGCCAGCAGCCGCGGUAAUACGGAGGAUGCGAGCGUUAUCCGGAUUUAUUGGGUUUAAAGGGUGCGCAGGCGGUCUGUUAAGUCAGCGGUCAAAGCCCGGGGCUCAACCCCGGCCCGCCGUUGAAACUGGCAGU
rnacentral:rRNA from 1 species